UACGGAGGAUCCAAGCGUUAUCCGGAAUCAUUGGGUUUAAAGGGUCCGUAGGCGGUUUAAUAAGUCAGUGGUGAAAGCCCAUCGCUCAACGGUGGAACGGCCAUUGAUACUGUUAGACUUGAAUUAUUAGGAAGUAACUAGAAUAUGUAGUGUAGCGGUGAAAUGCUUAGAGAUUACAUGGAAUACCAAUUGCGAACGGCAGGUUACUACUAAUAGAUUGACGCUGAUGGACGAAAGCGUGGGUAGCGAACAGG
rnacentral:rRNA from 1 species